rnacentral:rRNA from 1 species
CACGUAGGAGGCGAGCGUUGUCCGGAAUCAUUGGGCGUAAAGAGCGCGCAGGCGGCUUGGCAAGUCGGGUGUGAAAUCCCGGGGCUCAACCCCGGGACUGCAUUCGAUACUGUCAGGCUAGAGGUAGGUAGGGGAGAUCGGAAUUCCUGGUGUAGCGGUGAAAUGCGCAGAUAUCAGGAGGAACACCGAUGGCGAAGGCAGAUCUCUGGGCCGUAACUGACGCUGAGGAGCGAAAGCGUGGGGAGCGAACAGG